GCCUACGGGAGGAGCGACUGGAGUUGAUCGGCUGGGCGCUCAGGUAGCGAAGAUAAAUGUAAUCUUGUGGCAGGAAAUCGACAUUCUCUGCACUAUCUUUAGUUUCCCAACUGAACUUCUGAGAAAUGGAGGCUACAAUACCUAGUUUGCCAAACAGGAGAUUAGAAGACUACAAUUCCCAGAAGGAACUACGACCAUCAUUGGUCCGCGCUCAUACUUUGCAUCAUGGGACUUGUAGUCAUCACCAGCUUGCGCUGAUUCUAACAGAACCUGGACAACUACCCUCAACUGGUAACAUAUUUUGGUGAGCCAACCAGAAGGUAAGCCCAAAGUUUGGGAUUUGUUUUUUUCUUUUUCCUCUUUCUCUCUCUCCCUUUUCCUUUCCAAGUUGGGACCCUUGAUGGACAGUGCCUAAGCAUGGAGGCAACUGCAGGUUUCUGGCCGGAGCCACUCUCUGGUGAAACUAAAAGGUCCAUGUGGAAGCACCUGACUGCCACCACCUGUUCAGGAUCAAGUCUGUGAUACCUGAAGCCUUGGACCUGGAACCUGAAGUUUCCUUCAGCCACUACACCUGUGAACCUGUGGAAGACCUGAAGUACCUGUUUAGAAGACAGCCAAAAGAUAAGUAAAUGCCUACCAACUUUCCUUGGUGUUUUUGUUGCAUAGUUACUGUAGGCUGGAUAAUAAUAGCCAUAUUUUUAUAUAUUUGGCUGGAUAAUAAUAGCCAUAUUUUUAUAUAUUUUUGCAGUUUUUCUUUUUUCAAAUGUUUGGAAUCACUCCCUUUGUAGCAAUUAAGCAGAAUGUUUUAAUUCCUCCCUAUAACAAACAUUCCUGAUAACGUAGGUAUCCACCCCCUGAAGUUCCCAUUAGAUCUUUUAACCAAAUUCAUUUCCUCUCACCUAGAGACCAUUGAACUUCAUAUGAUCAUGCAACAACAUUGCCAGCCAGUUCCAAAUGAAGAUAGCACCCCCAGCGAUCAAUAAACUACCCUGCCUCCACUAGAUAGAGCAGGGAAAAAUUUCCAUGAUCAGUAAUAGGUAGGGAUUGCACCCAAGUUAGCAUGAAGCAGUUACAGAAGAAAGACCAUCAAUCCCUCUGCUUCCCAUAAAGAUUUAUGGGAAUCACAUCUCUCAGGGGGAAAAUGAGGCAGGAAAAUAGGAUCUGGAAGCAGGGAACCUAAGGUUUAUUCAUGCUGACUGGAUAUCAGAGGCUACUCUCUUUACGACCUCUCCUUCUGUGUGGCAGUUGAAAAAUGAGACCAAUAUCCCUGAUGAACAUUGAUGCAGAAAUCCCCAAUAAAAUAUUGGCAAACCGAAUCCAGCGGCACAUCAAAAAGCUUAUCCACCAUGAUCAAGUCAGCUUCAUCCCUGGGAUGCAAGGCUGGUUCAACAUAUGCAAAUCAAUAAACGUAAUCCAUCAUACAAACAGAAUCAACGACUAAAGCCACAUGAUUAUCUCAAUAGAUGCAGAAAAGGCCUUUGACAAAAUUCAACAGCCCUUCAUGCUAAACACUCUUAAUAAACUAGGUAUUAAUGGGAUGUAUCUCAAAAUAAUAAGAGCUAUUUAUGAAAAACCCACAGCCAAUAUCAUACUGAAUGGGCAAAAACUGAAGCAUUCCCUUUGAAAACUGGCACAAGACAAGGAUGCUGUCUCUCACCACUCCUAUUCAACAUAGUGUUGGAAAUUCUGGCCAGGGCAAUCAGGUAAGAGAAAGAAAGAAAAGGUAUUCAUUUGGGAAAAGAGGAAGUCAAAUUGUCCCUGCUUGCAGAUGACAUGAUUGUAUAUUUAGAAAAGCCCCAUAAUCUCAGCCCGAAAUCUUCUUAAGCUGAUAAGCAACUUCAGCAAAGUCUCAGGAUGCAAAAUCAAAAGUCUCAGGAUGCAAAAAGACAAACAGAGAACCAAAUCAUGAGUGAACUCCCAUUCACAAUUGCUACAAAGAGAAUAAAAUACCUAGGAAUCCAACUUACAAGGGAUGUGAAGGACCUCUUCAAGGAGAACUACAAACCACAGCUCAACAAAAUGAAAGAGGACACAAACAAAUGGAAGAGCAUUCCAUGCUCACGGAUAGGAAGAAUCAAUGUCAUGAAAAUGGCCAUAUUGCCCAAGGUAAUUUAUAGAUUCAGUGCCAUUUCCAUCAAGCUACUAAUGUCUUUCUUCACAGAAUUGGAAAAAACUACUUUAAAGUUCAUAUGGAACCAAAAAAGAGCCUGCAUAGCCAAGACAAUCCUAAGUAAAAAGAACAAAGCUAGAGGCAUCACACUACCUGACUUCAAAUUAUACUACAACGCUACAGUAACCAAAACAGCAUGCUACUGGUACCAAAACAGGGAUAUAGACUAAUGGAACAGAACAGAAGCCUCAGAAAUAAGACCACACAUCUACAACCAUCUGAUCUUUGACAAACCUGACAAAAACCAGAAAUGAGGAAAGGAUUUCCUAUUUAAUAAAUGGUGCUGGGAAAACUGGCUAGCCAUAUGUAGAAAGCUGAAACUGGAUCCCUUCCUUACACCUUAUACAAAAAUUAACUCAAGAUGGAUUAAAGACUUAAAUGUAAGACCUAAAACCAUAAAAAUCCUGGAAGAAAACCUAGGCGAUACCAUUCAGGACGUAGGCAUGGCCAAAGACUUCAUGACUAAAACACCAAAAGCAAUGGCAACAAAAGCCAAAAUAGACAAAUGGGAUCUAAUUAAACUAAAGAGCUUCUGCACAGCAAAAGAAACUAUCAUUAGAGUGAACAGGCAACCUACAGAAUGCGAGGAAAUCUUUGCAAUCUACCCAUCUGACAAAGGGCUAAUAUCCAGAAUCUACAAAUAACUUAAGCAAAUUUACAAGAAAAAAAACAACCCCAUCAAAAAGUGGGCAAAGGAUAUGACACUUCUCAAAAGAAGACAUUUAUGCAGCCAACAGACACAUGAAAAAAUCUUCGUCAUCACUGGUCGUCAGAGAAAUGCAAUGCAAAUCAAAACCACAAUGAGAUACCAUCUCACGCCAGUUAGAAUGGUGAUAAUUAAAAAGUCAGGAAACAGAUGCUGGAGAGGAUGCAGAGAAAUAGGAACGCUUUUACAGUGUUGGUGGGAGUGUAAAUUAGUUCAACCAUUGUGAAAGUCAGUGUGGCAAUUCCUCAAGGAUCUAGAACUAGAAAUAUCAUUUGACCCAGUAAUCCCAUUACUGGGUAUAUACCCAAAGGAUUAUAAACCAUGCUACUAUAAAAACACAUGCACACGUAUAUUUAUUGCGACAAUAUUCACAAUAGCAAAGACUUGGAACCAACCCAAAUGUCCUUCAGUGGUAGACUGGAAAUGUGGCACGUAUACACCAUGGAAUACUAUGCAGCCAUAAAAAAAGGAUGAGUUUAUGUCCUUUGCAGGGACAUGGAUGAAGCUGGAAACCAUCGUUCUCAGCAAACUGUCACAAUGACAGAAAACCAAACACUGCAUGUUCUCACUCAUAGGUGGGAAUUGAACAAUGAGAACACUUGGACACAGGGCAGGGAAUAUCACACACCAGGGCCUGUUGGUGGGGUGAGGGGCUGGGGGAGGGAUAGCAUUAGGAGAAAUACGUAAUGUAAAUGACGAGUUGAUGGGUGCAGCAAACCAACACGGCACAUGUAUACCUAUGUAACAAACCUGCACGUGUGCCCAUGUACCCUAGAACUUAAAGUAUAAUAAAAUAAAAUAAAAAAAUAGAUGAAUGGAUAAAGGAAAAAAAAAAUGAAAGUACCUCUGAUUGAUUCCCUCCCACAAGCAAUCAGACUGGUCGUGGGUCUAUUCUUUAUUCUGAUUGGUCCCCUCCCCCAACAAAUCAGACUGGUUGUGGGCCAAUGGGAAAUCUCUAGAAGGCAUUUAACCCAAGCAAAUUCUGUAACAGAUGCACUUGAGCCACUUGCUCGUGCACACUCCCACUCUGUGGAGUGUACUUUCAUUAAAAUUCUCCGCUUUCACUGCCUUGUUUUGUUUGUGCGUUUUGUCCAAUACUUUGUUCAAAACAUCAAGAACCUGGACAACUACCCUCAACCAGUAACAAGUAGACUAAAACAUAGGUAGUUUUCAGGAUAGACUUGGCAGUCUUGGCCUUGUGGUGGCAAUUAUAUCCUUGAGUUCUUAAACCUGUAAUCCCAGCACUUUGGGAGGCCGAGGCUGGCGGAUCACGGCGUCAGGAGACGGCGACCAUCCCGGGUAAAGUGGUGAAACUCCGUCUCUACUAAAAAUACAAAAAAAAAAAAAUUAUCCAGGCAUGGUGGCACGCGCCUGUAGUCCCAGCUACUCGGGAUGCUGAAGCAGGAGAAUUGCUUGAACCCGGGAGGCGGAGGUUGCAGCGAGCCGAGAAUGUGGCAGCAAAAGAGACCUGUGAUGAGGAAAACCUGAUAGUCCCAUAUCUAGGAAGCCAAGGAGAAUUAUACUUUCAAGAAGUAAGGGUGUACAGAUAGCAAUU